rnacentral:rRNA from 1 species
GUUUGAUUAUGGCUCAGUAUUGAACGCUGGCGGCAGGCUUAACACAUGCAAGUCGAGCGGAAACGAAGGUAGCUUGCUACCAGGCGUCGAGCGGCGGACGGGUGAGUAAUGCUUAGGAAUCUACCGAGUAGUGGGGGAUAGCCAUUGGAAACGAUGAUUAAUACCGCAUAUAUCCUACGGGGGAAAGCAGGGGACCUUCGGGCCUUGCGCUAUUCGAUGAGCCUGAGUGAGAUUAGCUAGUUGGUGGGGUAAAGGCCUACCAAGGCGACGAUCUCUAGCUGGUCUGAGAGGAUGAUCAGCCACACUGGGACUGAGACACGGCCCAGACUCCUACGGGAGGCAGCAGUGGGGAAUAUUGCACAAUGGACGAAAGUCUGAUGCAGCCAUGCCGCGUGUGUGAAGAAGGCCUUCGGGUUGUAAAGCACUUUCAGCGAGGAGGAAAGGUCAGUAAGUAAUAUUUGCUGGCUGUGACGUUACUCGCAGAAGAAGCACCGGCUAAUUUAGUGCCAGCAGCCGCGGUAAUACUAAAGGUGCAAGCGUUAAUCGGAAUUACUGGGCGUAAAGCGCGCGUAGGUGGUUUGUUAAGUUGGAUGUGAAAGCCCAGGGCUCAACCUUGGAACUGCAUUCAAAACUGACUCACUAGAGUACGAGAGAGGUUAGUGGAAUUUCCUGUGUAGCGGUGAAAUGCGUAGAGAUGGGAAGGAACACCAGUGGCGAAGCGACUGACUGGCUCGAUACUGACACUGA